rnacentral:rRNA from 1 species
GUUUAUGGCCAUGCCACCCUGAACAAGUCUGAUGUUUGAUCUUGGAAGCUAAGCAAGAUCAGGCCUGGUUAGUACUUGGAUAGGAGACCACCUAGGAAGACUAGGUGCUAUAGGCA